GUUGUUGGAAGGCCACCAUUCCUUUCACCUCUCAAGUAGCCGUCAUUCUCCUUCAUCACUUCCCCUCUUCAUAUCCUCAUUCUCUCACUUCAGUCCCUUUUCUAAACCCUAACUCCUCUCUCUUCCAACUUAUUCCCUCAAUGAAGUGAGAGGAAUACGCAGAACAACCGAAUGACCCAUGCCUAUCAUACCACCAUUUCAAAAGCCAUCUCCACCGAUGCUGCCACGCACCAGUCACUUUUCUCUCCAUCACGCAUUACACAACGACCCCUGUUUUCCAACCCUAACUUUGAUGCGGUGCGCGAAAGUUUGAUCGUGGUGAUUUGAUGCUCGAAAGUCCAAUUGUGAUGAUGUAUGUAUGGGUGGUUUAAAUGACAGAAGAAUCACCCCUUGGUUCGAUUGAACCAUUAAAUCUCUGUUUAUGGCCGGAAGUUGCAAGGUGGCUGGUGGAUGCAAACAGUUGCCUUUGAGCGGUGGGUCAAUUGAGAGGAACAAAGGCAGCAAGUGGUUCGUGUGAGGUUGUUGGAGGUGUGCGAUUUGGGGGCAAGUUGCCGUUUUGUGGGUGUUUGAUGUGGCUGCUUUGUUUUUUUAUGCGGCGUUUAUGGUUGUUUGGUGCGACUGCUGGCGGCUGUUAAGUUUGAUGAUUAAGGUGGUUGCGAGUUGCGAGGACUGGAAGCGUGGUGGUGGUUUGUAUCGGCACCUGCUUUCUAUAUCUCUAUUUUCAUCUUAAAACCCUUUAUGGGUCUUAAUUAAUUGUUGUUUGUAAUGUAAUUUUUUUUUUCGGGAGGACUUAAGUCCUCACUAAUUAAACUACUGUAUUUUAAAUGUAGUUGAUAAAUAAUGUUUAUUUUAUUUUA